rnacentral:tRNA from 1 species
GGAAUGUGUGGGCCUGGUGGCCCGACCGGUCUUCAAAACCGGUUUGCGGGCGCGAUGGCGCCCGUGGCGGUUCGAUUCCCCCACAUUCCGC